AGCGGCGGACGGGUGAGUAAUGCCUAGGAAUCUGCCUGGUAGUGGGGGACAACGUUUCGAAAGGAACGCUAAUACCGCAUACGUCCUACGGGAGAAAGUGGGGGAUCUUCGGACCUCACGCUAUCAGAUGAGCCUAGGUCGGAUUAGCUAGUAGGUGAGGUAACGGCUCACCUAGGCGACGAUCCGUAACUGGUCUGAGAGGAUGAUCAGUCACACUGGAACUGAGACACGGUCCAGACUCCUACGGGAGGCAGCAGUGGGGAAUAUUGGACAAUGGGCGAAAGCCUGAUCCAGCCAUGCCGCGUGUGUGAAGAAGGUCUUCGGAUUGUAAAGCACUUUAAGUUGGGAGGAAGGGCAGUAAGUUAAUACCUUGCUGUUUUGACGUUACCAACAGAAUAAGCACCGGCUAACUUCGUGCCAGCAGCCGCGGUAAUACGAAGGGUGCAAGCGUUAAUCGGAAUUACUGGGCGUAAAGCGCGCGUAGGUGGUUUGGUAAGAUGGAUGUGAAAUCCCCGGGCUCAACCUGGGAACUGCAUCCAUAACUGCCUGACUAGAGUACGGUAGAGGGUGGUGGAAUUUCCUGUGUAGCGGUGAAAUGCGUACAUAUAGGAAGGAACACCACUGGCGAAAGCGACCACCUGGACUGAUACUGACACUGAGGUGCGAAAGCGUGGGGGAGCACACACGAUUAUAUACCCUGGUAGUCCACGCCGUAAACGAUGUCGACUACCCGCUGGAGUCCUUGAGAUUUUAGUGGCGCAGCUACGCGAUAAGUCGACCGCCUGGGCAGUACGGCCGCAAGUUAAAACUCAAAUGAAUUGACUGGGCCCGCCGCAAGCAGCGGAGCAUGUUGUUUUAUUUCUAACAACACGAACACCUAACCUGUCCUGGACAUGUCCGAAUCAUGCAAGAUGCAUAUGCUCGGCAUCGGAACACAAGAUACUGCAUGCUGUCAUCAGCUC
rnacentral:rRNA from 1 species